rnacentral:rRNA from 1 species
UAAUACGGAGGGGGCGAGCGUUGUUCGGAAUUACUGGGCGUAAAGGGCGCGUAGGCGGCCUGUUGCGUCGGGUGUGAAAGCCCUGGGCUCAACCUGGGAGGUGCACUCGAAACGGGCAGGCUUGAAACCGAGAGAGGAUCGUGGAAUUCCCAGUGUAGAGGUGAAAUUCGUAGAUAUUGGGAAGAACACCAGAGGCGAAGGCGGCGAUCUGGCUCGGUUUUGACGCUGAGGCGCGACAGCGUGGGGAGCAAACAGGAUUAGAUACCCUGGUAGUCCACGCCGUAAACGAUGUGUGCUAGCCGUUGGGCAGCGUAGCUGCUCGGUGGCGGCGCUAACGCACUAAGCACACCGCCUGGGGAGUACGGCCGCAAGGUUA